AUUAAGCUGAAACAUUGGUUCCCUUACGAUCAACGAAGUUAAGCAGCGUCGAGCCUGGUCAGUAGCUAGAUGGGUGACCGUUUAGGAAUACUAGGUGCUGUAAG